ACCCACGCGGCGCUCUGCCUGCCCCCGGGUGCCGUCCGCGGCGGUUCGAUUGGAGCAGCCGCCGAAUAGCGCUUGGCGCCAUUUUGAAGCGGAGAGGAGGAGGAACGGCCGGGCUCGCUGCGGAAGGGGAGGGGGGGGGAGGAGGCGAUUGGAUGCGGCGGCGGCGGCGGAUCCCGGAGAGCAGCGGAGUGAGAGGAGUAGCGAGUCGGCCACCCGGAGUCGCGGGAGAUAAAGCGCGCCUACCGCGCCUCUUGGAGCUGGUGUUGGAGGCACCCGAGGACCUAGUUGAGGAAGAGUCCAGCACGGGCUGGAGUGGCUUCUCCCGGGCCACCACUGAGUUCUAGCUUUCCUUUCGGAAGCCUCGGAGUCGGAGCGACCAUGCAAACGGUGUGCAGCUGUACAGUUGACAUUUUUGCAGUCUCUUAUCUUAGUGACACCUGAAAAGUUUCUGGUCGAGAGGAAACGCUUGUUUGUGGUUUCUUGCUGCUGUUGCCUUUUGGUAUACACGUUAAAGCUACGCUAAGCCGCGGUACAGUUAUUCGAGGGAAUGAGUCUGAACCCUGAAACGCUGCACCUCGUCGGCUUCAGAGUUGCCUGUUCCUGCGUUCCUUCGCGGCCGGUGUAAACUCGGGGUAGGGUUUGAAAGAGCAGGUCCCUGCCUACUUGACACGUUUAGGCAUCCUAACCAACCCCCGAAAGGGAAUCCUUUAUUUGAUUUUGAAGGACGUGCUUUGAACGCUCUUCUCACACUUCUGUUAUGAAAUGAUGGAUGGGCAGUACUGUCCUGAACGACCCUACCCAACCCUGUUUGUUAAACCGUUUAGGAGACUGUGGAUGUAGCCUUUACGUUCGAAGGUUGGUCUGCGGUCUUGAGUGAGUUUUGGAGGUCUUCUACUGUCUUCCUAAUAACUUCUAAAAGUUCAAGUGUGUUUAUAUAUGAGGCGAGCUGUAAGUCAUAAUUAUUUAAAACUUGAAUGGCAGUAUAAUCAUUGUUCUCAACACAUGUAGAUGAAGUUCCAAGAUAGAGCAUUUUCUAUACUUACGUAAGCAGUAGUCAAGUAAAAUAGUUAAAAGCACAAAAAUGGUAUUAAGCAAAAUGUGGGCUAGAAAGGACACUUAUUUAUGCAGUACAUAUGUCGGAGAUGUUAGCAAUUUUAGACAAUAAGAUGAGCAUUCCUCUGGUGUGUGCAGGUCAGUUUGUGGAACGAUUAAUCUGCUAUCGUCUGGUGAUAGCAGAAAACCUAAUUAAAAUUUAUAGUGAUGAACAUGUAGGUGACAGUUUCAACAUGGAACUUCUUAUAGAAAGGUAGAUUUAUUUUGAAAACCUUAACUGUAAAAAAAAAAAAUUGAAAACAUUAUUCUUUAAAAAAAAAACCUUAAAUGAGAACAUUAUUCUUUCAAAAUAAAUGUACAAAUGUAUAUAGAAAAGGUGCACAUUAGAUAUUCUUUGAUUACUGAAAUAGUAAUUUUUUGUGUGUGCUUUUUUGAUGGUUUAAAAAAUUAUACUCUGGGUUUUACUUGAAUGUGUGAAUAUUUUAAAUGACAAGGUAGUGUUUGUAUUGGCCUUUAUUUUUUCUUAAAGAACUUUUGUGCCCUUUCUUAUUUUCUCCUUUUUUGUUGAGGUUGAUUCUCCUUGUAUUAACUUUGUUUUUUUACAGUGGCUUUUGUACUCUUCCUGUCACUUUCAUUCUUGUCUGGUUAUGUCUUUUUCCUCACUUUUCCCAAGAAUUAGAGGAGGUAACGUGGUGAAGAUAGUGAUCCUUGCUGUCGUGGAAUGUUUUGUACUAAGCGUAUUUGACAAGUAGUUCUACUGAGUUGGCUGUUGAAUAAAAGUUUUAAUUUCUAAAUUUACUUUAAAAUGGUUUGCAACUUUAAUGGAUACAAAGAGUCAUGUUUUGAGGACCAGGCUUUGUCAAUAAUUUGUUAAGCCUAAAAUAAAGUGAUACGCUGUAUUAGACAGGGCUUACCCUGGUGAAGACUGAAUGGUACCCAAAACUUUGUGUAGAGGGGAGUAUUUUGGGAGAUUGUGUUCUUUCUGCUUCUCCCUCUUGGAGAUUAGGAUUGUCCUGUGGCUUCUUCAGUGCUACUUCUUUUGAUCGUGUGUGCCUAGAACCAACAGGAGAGCUCACUGAUUUCGCUUGGAUGACAAGUACUGUAUAUAAUCUAUGUUAGAAAAGAAUAAAUUUGUAUUUCCUUUAUUAGUGUUAGAGAGCUAUAAGGAAAUUUAGAUGAUCUCCAACUCACUCAUUAUAUGCAUGAGAAAUUAGGUUCAGAUUGUAACUUGAUUGAUUUAUUCAAAGUCACAGUCAUAUUCUUGUGGAAUUGAGGCAGCCCUUACAUCUCCUGGAGGCUUAGAAGUAUCCACGUGGUCUGUAUUGUUUUAUUCAGGACUUAAGCAAUAUUUAAAAUUAUUGCCAGGUAGCAUAUUAUUCUCUUUCUCCUUUCCCCCCUUUUUUUUCAUUCAACCAAGAAAGUUUCGAGGUUAACCAUCUGUUUCAGAGUCUGGUUUUAAUAAUUUCUAUCCAGGAUUCGGUCCACUUAAAUUGUCUCAGAAGAUAACCUCUUGCAUGUCUCUGUCUCCUGGAGUUGCUUGAUCUUUCAUUGUGUAACAAUACUUGACAAGGCAUUUAUUUAUUCUUUGUAAGCCAGGGUAAUUUGGAAGUUAGUGUUGAACUUUAUUUUGUUAUAAGAUGCAUGUGUGCAUGAAUGUGUUAUUUUUUUAUUUUUUACUUUCUCUUUUUUUACUUUUAAACUCAAUUUGCUACACAAGUCAUUUGCUUCCAGUUACAGUAGGUGUUUGGAGAAAAUUGUAUUUGGUUUGAGUAUUCCUGUUUGGAAAUGUUAAAAAUUCCAAAAAUACUUAGUCUAACAAUAAACCCAGUAAUUUCUCUGAGAAUAUAUUUACUUUUUAAGUUCAUUUAAGAAGUUGCCAAAUGGUUCAAAAUUGUGCUUCCUUGGAGUGUAGAGGUCAGCUCUUCCUCACACUGUACUGUCAUGAACCACCUGAUUAUAACCAUUUUCCCCAAUACUUAAAAAGGUUUUAUAACUCUUUCUCACUGAUUAGUUCAAAAUUAAGGAUAAGUUUGCUGUAAUUGUUUCAGUUGAUAGGGGUGAUCAUGCUCAGUGAGAAAAUCGUGAAGAUUAAAGUCAGAUUAGUUAAAUUUAGUUGUUUAAACCUUAAAGCCAUUACUCUGAGAUGUUUAAAAAUAUCCAUGAUAGUUAUUGUGCUCUAAUGAUUAGACAUCAGUGAUAAGCAGUAAUUAGAAAUACUUGGUUUAGCUGUGUAAAACUUAUAAGUCAGCUAAGGGGAGUGGAGGAAAGACUGAUAAGCGGGAAGCUAAUUUGAGGCAUCUUUAAAGGACCAUGAUCUAGAAGUACUCCACUAACUUGCUUCCCUUUGACAGAGAUUGCUCUGACCUGAUUCAGUUAAAAUGAACAUAUACUAAGCUUCAUCUAUAUACUGUACCAUGGAUGAUGUAAUAAACAGGACAGAGACUCUGCCCUAUAGAAGUUUCGAGUGGUGGUUUGCCACUUGCACCAAGGUGAUGAGAGCUGAGAAAAACCAGAGUAGGAUCCCUGCUGUUAAGUGAUUCUACCAGGGCCAGGCCUUCCUCCCUCUUCAGUGACAGUUGAGGUUGCUCUUUAUGUGGGAGAGUGAAGGAGGGGACAUUAUGACCACAAGCAUUGUCUCUCUCUUGGAGAGAAUGGUUAGGGGGCCCAAAAGGAAACAAGAGUUUGUGGUUCCCUGGGCAGUGUAGGGAUUCUUUUUCCCUUUCAUCUCAGAGGUGGUUUUAGAGAAGUAAGGGAAGAGAUUUUUAAAGAAAAGUCCCAGAUAUAUAUCCAAAGUGUAUUUACAGAAUGCAUCCCUAAGUAGUUGAAAUUCCGCCAGGCAAUUUCAGUUAACCUUCAGAUACUGGGAUGGGGGUUGGGGUGCGUAUGGAGAGUUGGUAGUGAGAGUUGUUGUUAAGGUUGGCGGGAACAGAGUACUUUAAAGAACUAUAUUUUAAGUUAAAAGUUAUACAUGUAUAUGAUAAGGAAAUUCUUGUGGUACAGAAAAUAAAAAUAAAAGCUACUUUAUCUCUUCCCCCUAAAAGGUAAUCCACUGUUAACAGUUUUCAGAAAAUUUACUUUUCAAAGAAUUUAUGCAAAUAGUAUUAUACUUACUGCUUUUUUUGUUGUUGUUAAAAGCUAUAUUGUUUACUUUUUUCCUGAAAUUUACUUUUUUCUGUAGUUGAUGUCAUGUAGCUCUUCUCAUAUUGGCACAUAUAGAUCAACAUAAUUUAAACAAUGAUUAGAGUAUUAUAUGCAUGUGUCACCACAAUUUAUUCUGACUCCUUUUGAGUGGUAUGUAGGUUGUAACUACUUACACAAACCGACAGUAUAUGACUAUGACUGUUACAUGUUUGCCAACAUUGGGCCUUAUUAAACUUUAUGCCUUUUGCCGAUUUGAUAUGUGAAGUUUGUAUCUUGUUUUGGGUUUGCAUUUUGUUGAUUAUGAGGAGGGGAAAACAUUUUUGUAUGCUUAUUGGGCAGAGGUUACUUGCAGCGCACACUUUAGAUUGAGUAGAUUAAGUUAUCUGUGCACCCCUCCCCCCCCAUCUAAAAUGGUUUGAGGGAGAUGGAACUUUUAGAGAGAAAUAAGGUUUCAGAGCCUGUGGCACGUUGAGGGGGAGCAGUGCUCUGAAUGGAGAGGCUGCAGUGCUAGACUUUGAACAAUAACCAGAGGUUAAGUAUUGAAAGCCCUUAACUUGGUCUUAAUGGAAGAUUAUAUAAAGGCAGGAAGGGAGAUUUGAGAGUCAGGGCAAGUAAUUUCAUAUAGGGUAAGCUCUAUCUCCUACUGUCUGCUUGUCCUGUCUCACCACUCCCCCCUUGUGCCCCAACUGUCAUUUCAUUUUUAUUUAUACUUCCCUGGUGGGGUGGCAACCUUGACUUUGAUAUUUCAGUUCUUCCAGAGAUGAGGAACACUUAGUUUUUAUUAUAAGGGAAACUGAUUUUUCUUCAAACCAAAGGGAGCAGUUCUCAUUUCUAAUGUUCUUUAGAUCUAUUUUCUGAUCUUUAGUAGUCUCUCUUUAUAGUUGAUAUUCUGCUAGUUUCAGGGGCAUUACAUGCUGACCUGUGCAGAAGUUGGCAUGACUGCAUGAGCUUUGUUCCUAUUUAAUCCCUACAUGCUGCCCCCACCCCAGCUUCACAUUUUUUUUUUAAUG
ensembl:lncRNA